rnacentral:lncRNA from 1 species
GUGCGAUGUCUUUCUGAACUCCCCCGACUGUCCGAGAUUCCAUAAUGCCAUCCGGACUUCUCUGAUAAUGAGCUCCUCCAUUCAUCUAUCGGGUUGCUCCAAGCGCUUUCCGAGCUUCACUAUCAGCCAAUUUUCUACAGUGAUCGACUAUUCUCCGAAUAUCUUCCAGACUUCUUCCGGCCAUGGACGACUUUACUCCAAACUUCUUCCAGACUUCGUCAAUAUCCAAGCUUUUCCGACAGCAGGAUUUCAUUCGAGCUCCUACAAGAGCCGGAUCCCAGUCGAACUUCUACAGCGGAUGGAUCACAGACGAACUUCUACAACGAGAUAGGCUCCACCAAUCGGAUCUCUACUCCGAGCUUCUACAAUAAGAAAUCUCCAUCCGAGCUUCCACGACAACUGAUCUUUGGCCGAGCUUCUACAAUAAGCGGACUUCAUGCAGACUCCUACGAGAGCCGGACUCUGUCCGAACUUCUACAACAGAAUUGAAUCCCAGACUCCUCUAAUGUUCGACCUUCAACAGUGUCCUCAAGACUCCUCCAGCAGAUGAACCUCCACAACGUCAUCUGAACCCCACUGUCGGUCGACCCUCUGUCGGUUCCUCAUG